GACGAACGCUGGCGGCGUGCCUAAUACAUGCAAGUAGGACGCAGUUGCGAACGGGUGAGUAACGCGUAGGUAACUGCCUAUUAGAGGGGGAUAACUAUUGGAAACGAUAGCUAAUACCGCAUACUAGUAGAUGGACCUGCGUUGUAUUAGCUAGUAGGUAGGGUAAUGGCCUACCUAGGCAACGAUACAUAGCCGACCUGGUAGGGGGAUCGGCCAAAACGGGACUGGGACACGGGCCAGACUUCUACGGGAGGCAGCAGUAGGGAAACUUUGGCAAAGGGGGGAACCCGGACCGAGCAACGCCGCGGGAGUGAAGAAGGUUUUCGGAUCGGAAAGCUCUGUUGGUAAGGAAGCGGUACUUAACCAGAAAGGGACGGCUAACUACGUGCCAGCAGCCGCGGUAAUUC
rnacentral:rRNA from 1 species